UACGAAGGGGGCUAGCGUUGCUCGGAAUCACUGGGCGUAAAGCGCACGUAGGCGGAUUGUUAAGUCAGGGGUGAAAUCCUGGAGCUCAACUCCAGAACUGCCUUUGAUGACUGGCGAUCUUGAGUCCGGGAGAGGUGGAGUGGAACUGCGAGUGUAGAGGUGAAAUUCGUAGAUAUUCGCAAGAACACCAGUGGCGAAGGCGGCUCACCUGGCCCGGUACUGACGCUGAGGUGCGAAAGCGUGGGAGCA
rnacentral:rRNA from 1 species